AUUGAACGCUGGCGGCAGGCCUAACACAUGCAAGUCGAACGGUAACAGGAAGAAGCUUGCUUCUUUGCUGACGAGUGGCGGACGGGUGAGUAAUGUCUGGGAAACUGCCUGAUGGAGGGGGAUAACUACUGGAAACGGUAGCUAAUACCGCAUAACGUCGCAAGACCAAAAAGGGGGACCUUCGGGCCUCUUGCCAUCGGAUGUGCCCAGAUGGGAUUAGCUAGUAGGUGGGGUAACGGCUCACCUAGGCGUCGAUCCCUAGCUGGUCUGAGAGGAUGACCAGCCACACUGGAACUGAGACACGGUCCAGACUCCUACGGGAGGCAGCAGUGGGGAAUAUUGCACAAUGGGCGCAAGCCUGAUGCAGCCAUGCCGCGUGUAUGAAGAAGGCCUUCGGGUUGUAAAGUACUUUCAGCGGGGAGGAAGGGAGUAAAGUUAAUACCUUUGCCCAUUGACGUUACCCGCAGAAGAAGCACCGGCUAACUCCGUG
rnacentral:rRNA from 1 species